rnacentral:rRNA from 1 species
UACGGGGGGGGCAAGCGUUGUUCGGAAUUACUGGGCGUAAAGGGCUCGUAGGCGGCCAACUAAGUCAGACGUGAAAUCCCUCGGCUUAACCGGGGAACUGCAUCUGAUACUGGAUGGCUUGAGAUUGGGAGAGGGAUGCGGAAUUCCAGGUGUAGCGGUGAAAUGCGUAGAUAUCUGGAGGAAUGCCGGUGGCGAAGGCGGCAUCCUGGACCGGCAUUGACGCUGAGGAGCGAAAGCUAGGGGAGCAAACGGG